CAGGAAGGGAGCGGGGCAGCAAGCCGCUGGCGUGGGGGGCACCGGAACCGGGGGGCCCCCUUUCUCCUCCACCCCAGCCGGCAUGGAGCCGCCAGCAGCCUGCCUUUGGCUCUCGGUGCUCAGCUGCCUCCUCGCCUGGGAAAUGUGGAACGUUUUGGGCCCUGACGACAUUCAUCUCUGCAUCAGCCUGAGCUGCUGUGGUGCCUCGUGGAGGUUGUAGUUCAAGUGGCUCAUGUCCCCAUUCUCCUGUCUGGGCUGGGCUCCACAGUUGGACUAUGUCUCCCAUGAUGCCUUGUGGCUCACCCAGAUUUUUCAGCAUUUCCAAACGGACCUUUUUUUCAGUGCUUUUCAUUUUGCGGCAAAUUUCAAUAUUUCAACUUUUCAUCCUGAUUUUGGGAUGAAAACAAACGUGAAAUCAUCUGAUGUUCACUUGGGAUGGAAAUUCUGUUUUUUGAUCAACAUAAAUUGACAAGUUCAAAAUAGCAGGAUGGGAAGUGAUGUUAGUGGCAGCCUUUCUGUCACUCACCACUUACUCUGAAGGCCUGUGUCUCAUUAUCACAAUCAUUCCAUCGAUGUUCUGUCCACUUGAACUCAGGUCACCAAAUGCACAGUGCGUUGCUGCGGCUGUUCUGCUAGUUAAAUCGAGAUGGAUUGCUUGCUUCAUUCAUGGUUUGCUUGUUUCAGCUGAUUCCCGAAGGAGUCAUCUCUUUCCAUGUCUGUUUUAUAGACUGUAAUCUCUCCGGGGCAGGAACUCUCUUCAGAUCUAUUGUUCUGUGUCAGGAAAUAAAUAAAUAUGACUGACCAAUCAAUAUGAUGAUCUAAAAUCUUGGCCAUUACACUCAAUGGGUCUUCAGGUUUGAACGCAUAGCAUUGUUUCAUUUCCAGUAGGUGUGAGGUUUGUUAACCUUAUCACCACAUUCCUGCGGUUAAAAGUGCUGGUUCACACCAAGUCUCCUUUCAAUACUCCCAUUCUGCCAGUCAAAAAACCUAACAUGGACUCAGAGGGAAAACCGGUAUACCGAUUUGUCCAGGACUUAUGUGCAGUAAAUAAGGUUGUUCAAGCUAGACACAAUGUGGUGCCAAACCCUCACACAAUCCUGACUGCCAUUCCAGCAGGUACUGCUUGUUAUUCAGUAAUAGACUUGUGUAAUGCUUUUUUUUUUUAGUAUUCCUCUAAAUAAGGACAGCUGGGGCCACGCUUACCAAUUCAAUUUCAGUCCCUACUCGCUAAUGUUCCUGCUCACCGAAUCGCUCCAGAAGACUGGGUCUAUGUAAAAAAGUAAAAACACGAGCCUCUCCAACCCUGGUGGGCGGGCCCUUUCCAAGUCCUCCUUACCUCUCCACACUGCUAUUCGAGUGAAAGAGCAAGACACUUGCAUACACCACACCCGAGUCAAGCUAGCCCCUAGGACGGGGCCAGAAGCAAACAACUUCGGACUUCGAGGGAGCACCGCCAGUUCUUCCCACCGCGACCCAAAAAAGCCAAAAGCAGACAAUACCUGGAAAGCUGAACCUCUUAAAAAACUAAAGCUUCUGUUCCGGUGAACAAAAUCCUAAGACUUUAUAACUAUGGGUUCUCAGACGGUGCUGUAGUGGCUAUUGCUUUCAGGUCUGCCCCUUGUACAAGCUAACCCACAACCAGCCGCUAAACCUCUUCAGUAAACAGCCACGUUGGGACACUUAUCUAAUUGUUGGCUGUGUCACAAAACCUGCUCUAAAAAAGAAAUAGGGUUAUGGGCGGUACCUGCAAAUUUCUCUAAAGUACUCUCCUUACAGGUAAUACAAAAAACGAAAUGGGCAUAAAUUAAAAAAUAUCAAUAUAACAAAUAUAAAAAGAGGUCUGAAGUUUGGCAUUAUUACUGGGCAGCUAAGGGGGUCCCUCUUUUUAAAGUUCUUGGGAUCAGGUAUAACAUGCCCCUUUGUUUAAAAAAUGCUAAAAAAAAAAAUGGGCUACCUUUCCCCUGAAGGCCUGUGAUCAAACCCUUUGGUUUGAGGUAAAAAAUGAAACCCUUUACCCUUUAAAUACCCCUAAAAAUGCCCCCAACCCCUCCCCCCCACCUUGUCUCUUGCACAUAGCCUUUACAGUAAAACCAACAGGCAUUCGUUAUCAAGGGCAGUAGUUUCCCUUAUUCCUCCCGUUAGGCCCCAUAAAUAAAACACCUAUGUAUUAUAUGAAUAUUUACUCUGGCAUUCUGUUGCCCCACACAUCCCUUGAAAGGAUGUCUAAAUGCCCAAAGUCCAUAAAAUCAUUGGCAAGUUUCACAGCUAACGUAUUUGGGGUUACCUAUUAUAGGGCCAUUUUAAACAAUACCCAUGCCCUAAAAAACUUAAAUGUUUCCCAUAAAAAGUGCCAGGACUGCCUAAUAAGUAACUCCUGGCGCUGAAAUGAAGGAGUAACCUGGCGCCAUCAAGUUGUGGGUAAUACCCUUACCCUCUAUUUAAAAACCCCUGGCUUGUAUUUUAUCUGUGGCCACAGUGUCUACAAAGCUCUUCCUCCAGGUUGGCAAGGUCAGUGUGGUGUGGCCCGGGUGUUACCAAAUGUCCAAGUAAACGACACAUUGGAUUCCAGCCAGAUCCUCAACCUGGGCAGCUAUGCCCAUAAAUUUU